ensembl:sense_intronic Gm11656 predicted gene 11656
CAGUAAAUACAUUCACUUUAAUUAUUCAUUUCUAUUUGCUUGAAGAAACAUUCUUACAUGAUACGCAUACGUCCGUGCAUUUCCUUGUUGCAGCAACAUGAAUUAAAUAAGCCGCUUUCACAAGUAGACCAACUCCAAGGGAUUUCUCGCUAACUUGUUUUCUCUAUGCUCUUCGCACUUCCUCCUCUCAGCUGAAGAAAAGGUAGAGCCUGGUAACCCGGAAGAUGUCAGGAACAAGACAGGAGGAUCUUUCCAGUGCUCCUUCAAGUAACUUGGCUGACUUUCUAUUCACUGGAAAUCUUCCUCCAAGUAUCCAGAGAGUGACACAAUGCACAGCCCGUGUCUUACAAGAACACUUGA